CCAAUAGCGUAUAUUAAAGUUGUUGCAGUUAAAAAGCUCGUAGUUGAAUUUCGGGAUUAGUACGCUGGUCGUGCCUUCGGUACGUACUGGUGUUACUGAUUCCUACCUUCUGACGAACCAUCAUGUCAUUAGUUUGGUGUGGUGGGGAAUCAGGACUGUUACUUUGAAAAAAUUAGAGUGUUUAAAGCAGGCUCGCGCUUGAAUACAUUAGCAUGGAAUAAUGAAAUAGGACGUUGAUCCUAUUUUGUUGGUUUCUAGGAUUGACGUAAUGAUUAAUAGGGAUAGUUGGGGGCAUUAGUAUUCAAUUGUCAGAGGUGAAAUUCUUGGAUUUAUUGAAGACUAACUACUGCGAAAGCAUUUGCCAAGGAUGUUUUCAUUAAUCAAGAACGAAAGUUAGGGGAUCGAAGACGAUCAGAUACCGUCGUAGUCUUAACCAUAAACUAUGCCGACUAGGGAUCGGAUGAUGUUAUUUUUAAUGACUCAUUCGGCGCCUUACG
rnacentral:rRNA from 1 species